UACGGAGGGAGCAAGCGUUGUUCGGAUUUACUGGGCGUAAAGGGCGCGUAGGCGGCUUGUUAAGUCAUCUGUGAAAUCUCCGAGCUUAACUCGGAACUGUCAGCUGAUACUGAUGUGCUAGAGUGCGGAAGGGGCAAUCGGAAUUCUUGGUGUAGCGGUGAAAUGCGUAGAUAUCAAGAGGAACACCUGAGGUGAAGACGGGUUGCUGGGCCGACACUGACGCUGAGUGCGCGAAAGCCAGGGGAGCAAACGGG
rnacentral:rRNA from 1 species